UGGGGAAUAGUUUAACGGUAGAACGCCUGACUCUGGAUCAGGUAGUUGGGGUUCGAGUCCCUGUUCCCCAGCCA
rnacentral:tRNA from 2 species